UUCAUGACCUAUUUUAUUGUGUUAAUAAUUAUGUCUAUCAUGUUUGAUUAAAUUAUGCCAUAUCAGUUAUUGUCCUCGUUGGCCUCAUUGUGUACGUGAAGCUACUUUUUGCUAGUUUUUCUUUGCCUUAACUUUGGCGUUGGUGUCGAUGUGCGAUUUGAACCUUUGUUUUGACCUUGCAACUAGUAGAUGUAAUAACUGGUUUAGUCGGAUCUAGCUUUUAAACUCAUGAAAUCGGGGUGAUUAAUUUUGAUAUCUAGAAAUUUGAGGAGCGACUCUUCGGAUCAGUAGUAGAUCCUGUUUAAGAAUCUACAUUUGUUAGAGGAAGGUGAUUUGAGUAUAUUACUCAGUAUCGAUUGUAUAAUUCUACUUGUAAGUGGUGUUUUGAGUUAUCUUUUGAGGUACAACUUGUUAAGUUGUGUUUAUGCAAGUGCAUAAGUCGCUCCCCUUGGUUGGACCGCCAUAGAAUCAUAUGCAGGGCUAUCAGAGUCCAGAAUCCUGGGAGUGGGAAGGCUAGUGGAGUUCCCGCCUGGACCAGACGCAGUCCUCUCGAAGGGAUUGGAUUCCCAAUGGCAGGAAAGCUGGGCUAGGCUUCAUCUGAAUCUAUUUCCUUUUACUUUUUCUGUAUUCUACCUCUAUUUCUAUCAACGACGUAACUAGAUCCGGUCGAAUAUACCAACCUGCUCAGUUGAGAGUAGGAGCGUAGCCACUCGGGUCGAUGGAAUGGAGCUCGGCCAGAGGGAGAGGAACUGAAAGUCUCGACUGAAAGGAGAGGAGAUGAGUAAAGGUAUUGCUAUGGUCCAGUUGGGUUGAUCACUCAUUUGAGAAAUCUACUUGGGAGACAUAACUCGUUUUGUUGAAUUGUUAUAUUUUACCUUCAUUGGUUACUUGGGGUAUCUUGUUUAUGCAUUUUCACGUUGGUGAUGUGCGUUUUUUUUUAUUGUUCGGCUUUUAUGUAAUAUUAUGUUAUGUUUUACGUGGGUUGUUUUUAUGUUUUAAAUUCGAGGACGAAUUUUAUAUAAGUUGGGGAGAAUGUAAUACCCCGUGUUUUUCCGGCUUGUUCCGAUGAUUUUUUCGAUGUGUUUCGGGUUGGUCCUUGGUGGUUUGGUUCCUUGAAACCAUGAUUUGGUUUUCAUAACCUUCGGUGUGUUGUUUUGAUUAGGUUCUGAGCCUUAUCGAAUAAGUGUUUAUGUGUUUUCCUGAUAUGACAUGCUUUAGUAAAAUGUCCAUAUCUCCCAAUUGCACCGUCGGAUCGGGCCGCCGUUCGGAUAUGUUGUUCCUGAGAGGAUUUACUAAAAUCUGGUCGGUCGGAUCGUGUUUUUAUUGAGUUCGCGGGCGCAAACUAUAGUUAGCGGUCGCUAACUAAUGCUGUUGAAGUUAGCGGGUGCGAACUAUACUUAGCGGGCGCGAACUUGCACUGUUCAGUUCGUUGUUUUUCUAUUUAAAGACCCCUUAUUCGACCUAAACUCUUUUCCUUCGACUUUUAAAACCCUAAAACGGCUGGAGUCAUAUUUUAACUCACUCCUAUCAACAUUCCUCUCAAUUUUAAUCCUUGGCUGAUUUGGGUUGAUUGAUUUCUGGGUUUUAUUGUUCUUAGUCUAAUCAAGAGACCCGUCGACUGCUCGUGCUUCGGAGUCUACGCAGGGUUAGCUGUUUGCCAAGAUUUACGUGGAUAAGCAAGCGGGUUAUGAUUUUGAGCGAGUCAGCUGGUCUCCGAUUCUUUAUUUCCUCGGAGGUCUUAUUUUUAUUAAAGUUAUUAAAUUGAUUUUAUUCUUAGACCGCAGUAGUAAUUAGAAGUCUUAUUUGUCUAAUACUUGUUAUACAAUUAUUCAAUUGAUUUAUAUA